rnacentral:rRNA from 1 species
AGCAAAUAGAUACCCGGGUAGUCCCAGCCGUAAACGAUGCUCGCUAGGUGUCAGGCAUGGCGCGACCGUGUCUGGUGCCGCAGGGAAGCCGUGAAGCGAGCCACCUGGGAAGUACGGCCGCAAGGCUGAAACUUAAAGGAAUUGGCGGGGGAGCACAACAACGGGUGGAGCCUGCGGUUUAAUUGGACUCAACGCCGGACAACUCACCGGGGGCGACAGCAAUAUGUAGGCCAAGCUGAAGACUUUGCCUGAAUCGCUGAGAGGAGGUGCAUGGCCGUCGCCAGUUCGUACUGUGAAGCAUCCUGUUAAGUCAGGCAACGAGCGAGACCCGUGCCCACUGUUACCAGCAUGUCCUUUGGGAUGAUGGGUACUCUGUGGGGACCGCCGGUGUCAAAUCGGAGGAAGGUGCGGGCCACGGUAGGUCAGUAUGCCCCGAAUCUCCCGGGCUACACGCGGGCUACAAUGAAUGGGACAAUGGGUCCCUUCCCUGAAAAGGGUUGGUAAUCUCACAAACCCAUCCUUAGUUCGGAUUGAGGGCUGUAAC